CUAAGCAUAGCACAAAGAUCGUGCAGUUCGUCUACUACAGAUGUUCUAAUGUCAAGUAUCAUUUCCUUAGACCAUGAGAUUUUACAACUCCCGGAUACCGUAGGAAUGCUUUAGGUGUAUCAAUACAGGUAUCUCCGAAAGUGUUUGUUGCGUUGGUACAAAGCGAGACUGGGAUUUGUCACUCCAUGUAACGGAGCGGUAUCUCUGGGCCCACUCAGUCGACGCACAUCUGCCAAUAGGCACCCGCUCAGCCGUCGCGCCCGCCCACAGAUUUCGGCGUGGCUCGUCUAUGAAGAGCAGCCGACACCGCGGGGUUCACUUUGGCCGAUCAGUACAUAGCCACACUCUGAAAUCCGCCAUAUCAUGGCGACGCGCCGUGCUCUCAUCCACGCCCACCACAUAGCCAAGACCCUGCAGGAUCACACCCGCCGUCCUCUGGCACCAGGCAUGCGCACGAACACCACGGAGCGAC
rnacentral:lncRNA from 1 species